rnacentral:rRNA from 1 species
UACGAAGGGGGCUAGCGUUGCUCGGAAUCACUGGGCGUAAAGCGCGCGUAGGCGGCGUUUUAAGUCAGGGGUGAAAUCCUGGAGCUCAACUCCAGAACUGCCUUUGAUACUGAGAAGCUUGAGUCCGGGAGAGGUGAGUGGAACUGCGAGUGUAGAGGUGAAAUUCGUAGAUAUUCGCAAGAACACCAGUGGCGAAGGCGGCUCACUGGCCCGGUACUGACGCUGAGGUGCGAAAGCGUGGGGAGCAAACAGG